rnacentral:rRNA from 1 species
AUACGUAGGCGGCAAGCGUUAUCCGGAAUUAUUGGGCGCAAAGAGGGAGCAGGCGGCAGCAAGGGGCUGUGGUGCAAGCCUGAAGCUUAACUUCAGUAAGCCAUAGAAACCAGGCAGCUCGAGUGCCGGAGAGGAUCGUGGAGUUCCAUGUGUAGCGGUGAAAUGCGUAGAUAUAUGGAGGAACACCAGUGGCGAAGGCGACGAUCUGGCACGCAACUGACGCUCAGCCCCGAAAGGGUGGGGAGCAAAUAGUAUUAGAUACCCUAGUAGUCCACGCCGUAAACGAUGAGUACUAAGUGUUGGAUGUCAAAGUUCAGUGCUGCAGUUAACGCAAUAAGUACUCCGCCUGAGUAGUACGUUCGCAAGAAUGAAACUCAAAGGAAUUGACGGGG